rnacentral:rRNA from 1 species
GUGCCAGCAGCCGCGGUAAUACCGGCAGCUCAAGUGAUAGCCGAUCUUAUUGGGCCUAAAGCGUCCGUAGCUGGCCUCGCAAGCCCGUCGGGAAAUCCAGUAGCCCAACUACUGGGCGUCCGGCGGAAACUACAAGGCUUGGGACCGGAAGGCUCGAGGGGUACGUCCGGGGUAGGAGUGAAAUCCCGUAAUCCCGAACGGACCACCGAUGGCGAAAGCACCUCGAGAAGACGGCUCCGACAGUGAGGGACGAAAGCUAGGGUCUCGAACCGGAUUAGAUACCCCUGUAGUCC